rnacentral:rRNA from 1 species
UACGUAGGGGGCAAGCGUUGUCCGGAUUUAUUGGGCGUAAAGAGCGUGUAGGCGGCCAUACAGGUCUGUUGUGAAAACUCGAGGCUCAACCUCGAGACGCCGAUGGAAACCGUAUGGCUAGAGUCCGGAAGAGGAGAGUGGAAUUCCUGGUGUAGCGGUGAAAUGCGCAGAUAUCAGGAAGAACACCCGUGGCUAAGGCGGCUCUCUAGUACGGUACUGACGCUGAGACGCGAAAGCGUGGGGAGCGAACAGG